CACGGGGGGAGCAAGCGUUGUUCGGAAUCACUGGGCGUAAAGGGCGUGUAGGCGGUCAGGUAAGUGGGACGUGAAAUGCCUCGGCUCACCCGAGGAGCGGCGUCCCAUACUGCUUGGCUUGAGUACGGGAGAGGAUGUGGGAAUUCCUGGUGUAGCGGUGAAAUGCGUAGAUAUCAGGAGGAACACCGGUGGCGAAGGCGCACAUCUGGCCCGAUACUGACGCUGAGGCGACGAAGGCAUAGGGGAGCAAACGGGAUUCAGAUAC
rnacentral:rRNA from 1 species